rnacentral:rRNA from 1 species
AUUGUGUGUGAAAGUUUCUAAGGGCGCAUGGUGGAUGCCUUGGCAACAGGAGCCGAAGAAGGACGUGGGAUCUGCGAUAAGCCUGGUGGAGUCGAUAACCGGACGUGA